rnacentral:tRNA from 1 species
GCUUAAAUAGUUUAUUUAAAAAUAUUGAUUUGUGGUGUCAAAGAUAUAAUAUAUUAUAUUUUAUUUUAAGUU